UACGUAGGUGGCAAGCGUUGUCCGGAUUUACUGGGCGUAAAGAGCGCGCAGGCGGCUGAUUAAGUCUGAUGUGAAAUCUUCCGGCUCAACCGGGAAACUGCAUCGGAAACUGAUCGGCUUGAAGGUGGGAGAGGUAAGCGGAAUUCCUGGUGUAGCGGUGAAAUGCGUAGAUAUCAGGAGGAACACCUGUGGUGUAGACAGCUUGCUGGACCAUAACUGACGCUGAGGCACGAAAGCGUGGGUAGCAAACAGG
rnacentral:rRNA from 1 species